rnacentral:rRNA from 1 species
GAGUUUGAUCGUGGCUCAGAACGAACGCUGGCGGCAUGCCUAACACAUGCAAGUCGAACGAAGGCCUUCGGGCCUUAAGUGGCGCACGGGUGCGUAACACGUGGGAAUCUGCCCUUAGGUUCGGAAAUAACUCAGGGAAACUUGAGCUAAUACCGGAUGAUGACCGUAAGUUCCAAAGGAUUUAUCGCCUAAGGAUGAGCCCGCGUCGGAUUAGCUAGUUGGUGAGGUAAAGGCUCACCAAGGCGACGAUCCGUAGCUGGUCUGAGAGGAUGAUCAGCCACACUGGGACUGAGACACGGCCCAGACUCCUACGGGAGGCAGCAGUGGGGAAUA